UUCUAGUAUUCCCAUGGA
rnacentral:misc_RNA from 1 species